CAGAGUACGGUAAGCCAUUAAAUGCCAGGAGUUCAUUGCGAAGCCUCACAACUUGAUGAAUUAUACAGGUCUCAGAAAAGAAGGGGAAGCAAGAGACAAAUCUCGAAAGAAGCAUCAUGUUCAAGUGAUGCAGGUUGGAACGACUGUGCAUCCCGUGCAGAACUGGCUAUCAUGCAGUCCUGAUGGGAUCCUCGAAAUAUACAAUGAGACCCACCUGCUCGACAUCAAAUGUCCAUUUUCACGGCAGAAAAAGAUGCUUGUGAACUACGAAACUGAAGAGUGUUUUGUAGAUUACCUGCAGUUCUGUGGUGGUAAACUUUGCUUGAAAAAGGCUCACCCAUGCUACAAGCAGGUUCAGAUCCAAAUGUAUGUGAUUAAUGUACAAAGAUGUUUUUUCUUUGUCUACACAAGCAAGCAAGAUAUUACUCUACUUGUUCCCCGUGAUGAUGUGGCGUUAGCUCUAGCAGUCCCUAAGCUUGGGAUGUUCUACUUUAACCACUUUUUGAAAGCACUCAGUGCGAGAAAAGAUAGACCGAUAGUGCAGCCAUUCUGUGAGUUUUUAUUAUGUACAAAUGUGUAUAGCAAAAAUACAUUUCAUACCUA